UUCUCUCUCCGCGGGGAUUUAUUUUCGGUCGCUCGUUCGACGCCUGUGCAGCUGCUGCGCGAAGCGAAGCGAAGCGGGAUGAGGCGGUGCGAGGCGAGGCGAGGCGAGGCGAGGCGAGGCGAGCUAUGGUGAAGCCGCGAAACUACCCGCGUGUAGAAGACGAGUCACAAAGCUGAAAACGCUGGCGCGUUUCUUUAACGCGUAAUUUUGCACAGUGGAGAUCGUCUAAUAAAGGCUUGCUACCGCGUCUCGCCCGUCCCAUUAAUCUUAUUAUUGCGUUGUUAUUGUAUCAUUAAUGCAACCGCAUGUAGUUUUGUAUUUUUAUUUUUGGAAAUGAAGGCGUAAAUAAAAUGACGGUUGCGAAAUAACGUCAGAAUUGAGGCUGCCUGACGUUAUGAUUUGACAAAAGUGACGCUGGCUAACAAUAAACUGUUCUCGUUUUCCCUCUCUACGCGUCGUCGUUGUUUGAAACCCCUACGUUUACUGCGGUCGAUUAAAAGUUGAUUAUGAAAAAUUUAUCCGUUUAACUCGUUUGUUUUAUUUAAGAAUAAGAGAAGGCGGCAGACGAAUGUACGCACAGAUACAUAACAUUGGUUGCACCCCAGUUGUUGCGUUCUACUUUGCUCCACCGCCCAUUUCAUUUCUCUUUCCGGAUGGAAAAGCUUUCGCAGCCUUCUUUUUGCGGAUUGCAAACACGUCCGAAAACGACACAUUUUAAUUUUUUGGUGAAUGGAACCGAGAACUUUAAAACUAAAGACAAUACAAAUUUUCCAUUUUAUACAUACUAACGUCUAACUUGUGGUAUUUCUCUUCUAUUCCAUCUUUGUGCCAAUUUUUCUGCUCUCUUUCUUCACACACACUAUUUGAUCUUCUCUUAUUCCGUUCAUUGUCCUAGUCUAAAAGCAUUGUCUUUGCUAUUUCUAUAUUCUCUCCCUUCCUCCUAAUUCCUAUUCCUCGCUUCUCUCUCUCUCUCUCUCUCUCUCUCUCUCUCUUUCUAUUCACACAUACACUGCUUCAUUGCGUUCUUGUAAAUUUUUCUGUACAUUAUUCACUAUUGUAAUUAUUUUAAAAGUCGCAGCGCUUAUAAGAAAAUCUAGUCCUCCAAGAAAUAAUUCUAUUUUAGUCUUUGUAGUACGUAACAAUAAUUCAUAUUCUGAGAAUUUAUAUCGGGCAUUUCCAUUGUAGUAUCAGGUAACUGUGUAAUUGUAUAUCGCCGCGAGAACGUAAGAUUUGUAAAUAACGCGGGAACCUGUAGCGCGACCGAAAUAGUUCACGCGUAAGAAAGUUUAGAUUUCCUUGAAACAUACCGCGAAACGCAGAUCGCCGUAUAUCCGUGCUGAACUAUCCGCUGACGUCGCUAUUCAAAUAAACGCUUGAACGUCUAUGCGAAUAAUGGCAGCGCUAACACAAACACGUCGACGACUUAGUGAGCAACGCCGAUUGGUUCCGACAAGCGCGACGAAGUAAACGCACCGUGAACGCAAUGCAUUCGGCGUGCACGCCUUUAUAAUCCUUUUUCCAAGUUUAAUUAUACCAGGAUAUCUAAUAUUGGAAGGAGGUAUCAAAAACACGAUGGCACGAGAUCAAAUUUGCGAAUUCUUAGAAACUAAAGAGUACGCUUCGAAUUUUAGCACACUUUUAGCGAUACAUUUUGCUACAAUGUAUCUCGUUUCCCGAAUAAAUUAUAAAAAUAUAUUGUUUAAGAGCAAUUCUUUAAUUUUUGAAUUUCAUGUAUUAAAAGUGUAUGAUGCAAAUUUGUAAGUUGUGACUCUUCUUAGACCAAAUUAAAUCAGUAUAGUGAUAUUGCUGUUUGCACAA